UGGCUCAGAACGAACGCUGGCGGCGCGUUUAAGCAUGCAAGUCGAGCGGCAAGGGCCUUCGGGCCCCUAGAGCGGCGGACGGGUGAGUAACACGUGGACAAUCUGCCCCCCGGCCCGGGAUAGCCCAGGGAAACCUGGAUUAAUACCGGAUGAGACGGGACCCGCGAUGGCGGGAUCCGGGAAAGGCGCUGCGGCGCCGCCGGGGGAUGAGUCUGCGUCCCAUUAGCUAGACGGCGGGGUAACGGCCCACCGUGGCGACGAUGGGUAGCCGGCCUGAGAGGGUGGACGGCCACAUUGGAACUGAGACACGGUCCAGACUCCUACGGGAGGCAGCAGCUAAGAAUCUUCCGCAAUGGGCGAAAGCCUGACGGAGCCGACGCCGCGUGAACGAAGAAGGCCGUGAGGUUGUAAAGUUCUUUUCGGGAGGGGGAACAACCGUGGCAGGGAAUGGCCGCGGGAUGACGUGAAUCCCGGAAUAAGCCCCGGCUAACUACGUGCCAGCAGCCGC
rnacentral:rRNA from 1 species